rnacentral:rRNA from 1 species
GACGAACGCUGGCGGCGUGCUUAACACAUGCAAGUCGAACGGAAAGGCUCCAGCUUGCUGGAGUACUCGAGUGGCGAACGGGUGAGUAACACGUGGGUAAUCUGCCCUGCACUCUGGGAUAAGCCUGGGAAACUGGGUCUAAUACUGGAUAUGACCUUUCUCCUUAUGGGGUUUGGUGGAAAGUUUUUCGGUGUAGGAUGAGCCCGCGGCCUACCAGCUUGUUGGUGGGGUGAUGGCCUACCAAGGCGACGACGGGUAGCCGGCCUGAGAGGGUGAUCGGCCACCUUGGGACUGAGAUACGGACCAGACUCCUACGGGAGGCAGCAGUGGGGAAUAUUGCACAAUGGGCGGAAGCCUGAUGAAGCGACGCCGCGUGAGGGAUGACGGCCUUCGGGUUGUAAACCUCUUUCAGCAGGGACGAAGCGUAAGUGACGGUACCUGCAGAAGAAGCACCGGCUAACUAUGUG